rnacentral:rRNA from 1 species
CCCUUAGAUGUUCUGGGCUGCACGCGCGCUACACUGAUGCGCUCAACGAGUUUACGAACUUGCCCGGAAGGGUUGGUUAAUCUUUUUAAAACGCAUCGUGAUGGGGAUAGAUUAUUGCAAUUAUUAAUCUUCAACGAGGAAUUCCUAGUAAGCGCGAGUCAUCAGCUCGCGUUGAUUACGUCCCUGCCCUUUGUACACACCGCCCGUCGCUCCUACCGAUUGAAUGGUCCGGUGAAAUGUUCGGACCGCGACAAGGCGGACGGUUCGCUGUCAGCUUUGCUGCGGGAAGUUCAUUAAACCUUAUCAUUUAGAGGAAGGAGAAGUCGUAACA